UACAGAGGGUGCUAGCGUUGUUCGGAAUCAUUGGGCGUAAAGAGCGUGUAGGCGGCUUUGCAAGUCCGUUGUGAAAACUCGAGGCUCAACCUCGAGACGCCGGUGGAAACUGCAAAGCUAGAGUCCGGAAGAGGAGAGUGGAAUUCCUGGUGUAGCGGUGAAAUGCGCAGAUAUCAGGAAGAACACCCGUGGCGAAGGCGGCUCUCUGGGACGGUACUGACGCUGAGACGCGAAAGCGUGGGGAGCGAACAGG
rnacentral:rRNA from 1 species